rnacentral:rRNA from 1 species
CUCAGAUGAAACGCUGGCGGCAUGCCUAACACAUGCAAGUCGAACGAGGGUAGCAAUACCCUAGUGGCGGACGGGUGAGGAAUACGUAGGAAUCUGCCCUUAAGUGGGGGAUAACCCGGGGAAACCCGGAUUAAUACCGCAUGAUCUCGAAAGAGCAAAGCAGGGGAUCGCAAGACCUUGUGCUUUUGGAGGAGCCUACGUCGGAUUAGCUAGUUGGUGAGGUAAAGGCUCACCAAGGCGACGAUCCGUAACUGGUCUGAGAGGAUGAUCAGUCACACCGGAACUGAGACACGGUCCGGACUCCUACGGGAGGCAGCAGUGGGGAAUAUUGGACAAUGGGCGAAAGCCUGAUCCAGCAAUGCCGCGUGUGUGAAGAAGGCCUUCGGGUUGUAAAGCACUUUAAGUUGGGAAGAAAAAACUUCGCCUAAUACGUGGAGUCUUGACGGUACCGACAGAAUAAGCACCGGCUAACUCUGUGCCAGCAGCCGCGGUAAUACAGAGGGUGCUAGCGUUAAUCGGAUUUACUGGGCGUAAAGCGUGCGUAGGCGGUUUGAUAAGUCGAUUGUGAAAGCCCCGGGCUCAACCUGGGAAUUGCAGUCGAUACUGUCAGACUCGAGAACGGUAGAGGGAGGCGGAACUCCAGGUGUAGCGGUGAAAUGCGUAGAUAUCUGGAAGAACACCGAUGGCGAAGGCAACCUCCUGGGCCUGUUCUGACGCUGAGGCACGAAAGCGUGGGUAGCAAACAGGAUUAGAUACCCUGGUAGUCCACGCUGUAAACGAUGAGAACUUGACGUUGGUUCGCCUAGCGAAUCAGUGUCGUAGCUAACGCGAUAAGUUCUCCGCCUGGGGAGUACGGCCCGCAAGGUGAAAACUCAAU